CUACACAGUGCUGACGUAAUGAGUCCGUCCUGUGCCUAUUCAUUCAAAACAGGAUUGAGACGUCAGCUUGACAAAGCUUUCUCUCCUCGCAGGACCCCUAUUUGUGACCAAUUGUAAGAUCAUCUGAAGAUCGAGUCCGAUUGCCUGGCCAGGCCGGGCUGGGUGGUAUGUGCCCCCGUCACGCCGGAGGUUCCUGCUUUAGCGACGCCAAAGAUUGGGUGUGAGGGCAGCCCGCGGUGACAGAGACACGGAUCGGACCGAGAGAAAAAGGCUGUGGGCUUCACUGAGCAGAGUGACGAAGUAUUCAGGCCCUCAGGAGCGGUAACUAAAAUGGAGAAGCUGCGCUGAAAGGUGCCGUGGGCAAGUCAA
rnacentral:lncRNA from 1 species